CAAGGCGCUUGAGAGAACUCGGGUGAAGGAACUAGGCAAAAUGGUGCCGUAACUUCGGGAGAAGGCACGCUGAUAUGUAGGUGAAGUCCCUCGCGGAUGGAGCUGAAAUCAGUCGAAGAUACCAGCUGGCUGCAACUGUUUAUUAAAAACACAGCACUGUGCAAACACGAAAGUGGACGUAUACGGUGUGACGCCUGCCCGGUGCCGGAAGGUUAAUUGAUGGGGUUAGCGCAAGCGAAGCUCUUGAUCGAAGCCCCGGUAAACGGCGGCCGUAACUAUAACGGUCCUAAGGUAGCGAAAUUCCUUGUCGGGUAAGUUCCGACCUGCACGAAUGGCGUAAUGAUGGCCAGGCUGUCUCCACCCGAGACUCAGUGAAAUUGAACUCGCUGUGAAGAUGCAGUGUACCCGCGGCAAGACGGAAAGACCCCGUGAACCUUUACUAUAGCUUGACACUGAACAUUGAGCCUUGAUGUGUAGGAUAGGUGGGAGGCUUUGAAGUGUGGACGCCAGUCUGCAUGGAGCCGACCUUGAAAUACCACCCUUUAAUGUUUGAUGUUCUAACGUUGACCCGUAAUCCGGGUUGCGGACAGUGUCUGGUGGGUAGUUUGACUGGGGCGGUCUCCUCCUAAAGAGUAACGGAGGAGCACGAAGGUUGGCUAAUCCUGGUCGGACAUCAGGAGGUUAGUGCAAUGGCAUAAGCCAGCUUGACUGCGAGCGUGACGGCGCGAGCAGGUGCGAAAGCAGGUCAUAGUGAUCCGGUGGUUCUGAAUGGAAGGGCCAUCGCUCAACGGAUAAAAGGUACUCCGGGGAUAACAGGCUGAUACCGCCCAAGAGUUCAUAUCGACGGCGGUGUUUGGCACCUCGAUGUCGGCUCAUCACAUCCUGGGGCUGAAGUAGGUCCCAAGGGUAUGGCUGUUCGCCAUUUAAAGUGGUACGCGAGCUGGGUUUAGAACGUCGUGAGACAGUUCGGUCCCUAUCUGCCGUGGGCGCUGGAGAACUGAGGGGGGCUGCUCCUAGUACGAGAGGACCGGAGUGGACGCAUCACUGGUGUUCGGGUUGUCAUGCCAAUGGCACUGCCCGGUAGCUAAAUGCGGAAGAGAUAAGUGCUGAAAGCAUCUAAGCACGAAACUUGCCCCGAGAUGAGUUCUCCCUGACUCCUUGAGAGUCCUGAAGGAACGUUGAAGACGACGACGUUGAUAGGCCGGGUGUGUAAGCGCAGCGAUGCGUUGAGCUAACCGGUACUAAUGAACCGUGAGGCUUAACCUU
rnacentral:rRNA from 1 species